CUUGCUCUGUGAACCUGGAUUGAUCUCCACUCACCCGUCACUCCUGAAUGGGGCCCUCGAAGGGAGACACCCCUGACUGUGCUGAUGUUGUGAACGCUGCUGGGCCAGACUGGUGUCUGCAGGAGGACAAAGCAAGGGCUGGUUCUGACUUUGGUUUGAAGGGAUGAAAAGCCACCAAGACGGCUUUUGUGAAAAUCUGGAAGGACAAGAAAA
rnacentral:lncRNA from 1 species